UACGGAGGAUGCGAGCGUUAUCCGGAUUCAUUGGGUUUAAAGGGUGCGUAGGCGGUUUUUUAAGUCAGUGGUGAAAUCCUGCGGCUCAACCGUAGAACUGCCAUUGAAACUGAAGAACUUGAAUAUAGUUGAGGUAGGCGGAAUGUGCAGUGUAGCGGUGAAAUGCUUAGAUAUUGCACAGAACACCGAUUGCGAAGGCAGCUUACCGAGCUAUUAUUGACGCUGAGGCGCGAAAGCGUGGGGAGCGAACAGG
rnacentral:rRNA from 1 species